AUUGAACGCUGGCGGCAGGCCUAACACAUGCAAGUCGAGCGGAUGAAGGGAGCUUGCUCCUGGAUUCAGCGGCGGACGGGUGAGUAAUGCCUAGGAAUCUGCCUGGUAGUGGGGGAUAACGUCCGGAAACGGGCGCUAAUACCGCAUACGUCCUGAGGGAGAAAGUGGGGGAUCUUCGGACCUCACGCUAUCAGAUGAGCCUAGGUCGGAUUAGCUAGUUGGUGGGGUAAAGGCCUACCAAGGCGACGAUCCGUAACUGGUCUGAGAGGAUGAUCAGUCACACUGGAACUGAGACACGGUCCAGACUCCUACGGGAGGCAGCAGUGGGGAAUAUUGGACAAUGGGUGAAAGCCUGAUCCAGCCAUGCCGCGUGUGUGAAGAAGGUCUUCGGAUUGUAAAGCACUUUAAGUUGGGAGGAAGGGCAGUAAGUUAAUACCUUGCUGUUUUGACGUUACCAACAGAAUAAGCACCGGCUAACUUCGUGC
rnacentral:rRNA from 1 species